CGUUAACCUGCACCGUGAGCUGUCAUUGGCCAAGGCACGGAGGAGACCAACGCUGAGGAGGGGGAGAGGAGAAGGAGCAGCUGGGCAGGGAAAUGGCGCCGGGCCGGGAGGGGGGAGCGGGAUGGAGAUGGGGCGGGAAGGAGGAGUUGGGCAGGGAAGUGGUCCUGUCCCCGCAGCCCCGCGCCUUCUCUGACAUGCCCCUCUCGAAGCAGCGUGUGUUCCCCACUUUGAUUUCCAACGGCCCCUUUUGUUCUCUGCACAAAGGCCCGCUGAGGUCGGGCGGGCGCUGGCGGCGGCGGCGGCAAUGGCGCGCAGAACGGGCUGAGGCGGCCCGCCAUGGCCUUCUGCUCCCUCAGAUAACGCGUCAGCCCAGGGCAGCGCUGUCUUCCCUCCCUCCCUGCUUGCCUGCCUGCCUGCCUGCCCCACACAUGCAGCGCUUAGAUUACAGCUGCUCUGGCACUGUGUGUGUGGGGACGUCUGCCCGGGGCCUGCCGUCCUUACAGCGGCCAUGGCGCCGCACCGACCCGCAGAGGUUCUCGGCUGGAGAGCCGGGCAGCCGAGACCACCAGUCUAAUUAGUGCCUUCAACCUAUGCAAGGGCUGAAAUGAAAUUGUUAUUCCCCACCUGAGAAAUGAGAACGUCCUCUCCUGCCAUGCGGUUUCAUGCUGAUGAAGUAGAUUCUCUGUUCUCUGUGCAGAUGUUACUCUGAGUAGUGUGAGCAUUACUGGAUCACCCACAGAGCCUCGCUGCUGUAAAGGGCAGUGUCACCUUGGAUAGUUUUUAAAGUGCAGUUUCAUGUUAUGUUUUAUCUGAUCCAAAUCAACUUGCUGCUAGGAAAAAAGUGAGACAUCUUCCCCCACCCUAUUCCUGCUUAACAAUUCCACCAGCUGGCCUGCCCCUCUCUGAGACAGCUCACAGCUAGCAGGAGACUCACAGGGGUCAACAGUUUUCCACUGGUUUCAGUUCCUCCAUCAUCAUUUCAUUCUGGUCAGACGAGCAUUGGCCAGCUCUGGUGAGCUGGGAGGUUCAGUACUGUGUCCUUCCUCUCAGUUAUCUGGCUUCAAAAUGUUGGUUUUCCACAUUGCCAGCCUCACAGCACCAUCAGCUCUGGUGGGUCCUCAUUUGUUCAAACAUCAUAGUCCUGUGGGUCAACUUGCUCUCAGCUACUUCUACAAAAGGCUCCACUAUUUUCCAGUUACGAUCUCGACAGUAUUUGUGUAAAGCCAUAGCCACAUUUGCUCAGGUCUAACUGCCUGGAACCUCUUAAGCAGCUUGACUGAUAAUUGGCAAGGAUGUGAUGUGACACAAUUUCUACUUUUAGAAGUCUGAUGUUACCAUCACUGCUACAAGCAGAGUAUGUCACUCCACAUCUGUAUUUGGUUUGGUGGGAGGGGGUGUUGUUGAGUUUUUGGGUUUUUGUUUGUUUCCUUUUUUUUGUGUGUAGAAGCAAGCACAUAUUUUGUAAUGACUCAUUAAAAUAGAGGAGGCAAAGAAAAAUGUCCUCCAAUGCCAAAAAACACCACAGUAGCAAUCGAUUGAUCUAAGAUGACUGCUCUGAUAAAUAUGCUACAGAGGAGGCAGAUCUUGCUUCAAAGAAAAACUGAGAGGAUGCAUCAGCUUUUAAAGAAGCCAGGUGGGUGAUUGGCUGGGUGGACAGCACCUCUAUGUCCUCACUGGCUAAGGGAGAGCUCUCACAUCCCCUGCUGUGCCUGCUUUCCCCUGCUUUAAGUGAAAAGGGUGAUUUUAUGACCAUAACCAUAGCUAAAUAAACAGUAGUGCUAUACACACCCAAUCCUUCAUCAUGAAAAGAUAAUUAUAGAUUUCUCUGAAAGGACUGUGGGUAUGUGUGCGCAAGAAUCACGUAAGCAAAAAUAAAAUAUGCAAUGAGGGACUUAACCCAGAUCUGCCUGUUGCCUAGCUCCAUUUUGUGUGUGAAGUAACGUGGAAAUUUGACUGCAUUACUAGUUCUAGACAGAUACUUUGUAACAAUGCCCAACCCAGAAAGUGAAAUCAAGUAACAAGAAACCAGCCACUUAGAGACAAGCAUAUUUUUCCUGCAAGACUGCAGAAUUACUGUUGUUCCAUAAUUUCAUGAGCUACAUCCCCAAUUCCUUUAUAAAUGAUCUUUCUUCUUUUGCACAUAUUGUGUCAGAGAUGUCUCCACUGUGGUUAGAGUUUUUUGACCAAGGUAAAAGAUACUUCUUUAAGCACAAGUAACAAUUUCUUGCGAAUUUUUCCACAAAAAAAAUUACAAGUAUUUUCUAGAGAACUACUAGCUACCCACUACUAACUAAAAAAUGUCUAAAAAGAGUUCCUUUACAGUAUGACAAUAUAUUUGUGGCUCAGAGACAGAGGAGAGAAGUCUGGCAGCUCUGAAGAAAAUUUAAUUUACAGCACAAAAAGGUGGCAUCUGAAGGAAGAUCAAUUUGUGUGGGAGUCAGUAACUCCUGCUGUCACAUUAACAGCUUCAGCACCAUGGAUGUUAUUUUGCUGCCCUGGAUACUGUACCACGGCAAAGAGAGCUCCUGUGAUAAGCGAGAUCCAUCCCGACCCAGAAGCGAGGGGCCAGCUGCAGGGGAAAGGAGCUGCUCGUGCAGAGCUCACUGCAGGAGAGAAGCCAAAGACCUGGCUGGGAAGCGAUGAACUGCCCUGAUAAAUACAGCACGGCAGAGAGCCAGCUCUGGCCAAACAGCAUCACCAGGAGGUGGAAAACUAUUACUCCUCCAUUCACCCUCCUCCUUCAUUAAGAUGGAAGGUCAAUCAGUGUGAAGUUAGCAAGAGCUGAGGCCUGACAAUCAGGUUUGGACUAUGAGACUGCAGCAUCUUGGCCAGCCACAGACAGCAGUGGGCGAGUUAAUAGCUCAUCACCAUUUCAGUGGAUUUCUCUUUCACUGUGUCAGUGCCUCUUAGACUUGACAGCAUGAGGACUUCUUGCUGCAUCAGCCCAGUGGCAGUUGCACUCCUGAACCUGGCCUCUAAACUGGCAGCUUCGUCUGGAAAAGUUAUUUGAGCUGAGUUAUUUCAGCCUCUGUGUUCACUGAGGGGGGGAGGGCACACAAUCAAGGGCUGAUAAUAUCAGACUAUGCUCUGUGAGCCCCAUCUGGGGAUUUGUUUUUAACUUCACAUCAAUUCAGAGUGUUUUGAUGAGGCCAGGAAGAGAGACUGUGAGUGGGUAUACUCUAUGAACGAAGUAAAACAGAGUUCUGGGGAUCUUUGGGGUGUGCAUGAGGUCUCUUUUAUUCUGAUGCUGGCAGGCAGCUUCAGCAAGAACUCUGAUAAACCAGGUAGUUCAGAUGAAGCUCUGAAACUCUUUUGGGGAUAAAUCACUGUUGAGGCUGUAGCUGCCCAAGUCCCUGGGGAUGAACACUGCAGCCAUUAUUCAGUAAUAAUUUUCCACUCUUCAUAGGCAACAACUGCUCAGUGAUUUACAAGAACACUUUGUUCUGUUUUCAUAUAUACUUGUUUACAAAGGGGGAGAGAGAAAUUCCUGGUGGAUGUUGACACAGUUGUGAUACCAUUAAGUUUAUAGCUUUUUCCUGAAGGAAUGUAAUUUUUUCUCCUAAGCUCUCUAUGUUAGAGGAUUUGGCAAACAUUGUCAAAAAGAAUAUUCUUUCAGAGGACUCUGAAACUGUUCUUCUCCCUAUGCUCGUACAUGGGCUUGUGGGUGGCCUCAGCAGAGCCUCCUCAGAUGCACUACAGGGGAGCUGGCCAUGGGCAAGCUGGAGAAUAGUUCCCAAAGAGACUUUGCAGCCAAAGUAUCAUACUGAGUAGGUGCUGUGGCUUCUUAACCCACUGACCCUCUUACUGCUAUUACUGUGGUGCUUGGUGAGGGAGGUGGUGCAGCUCUUGUGACAGGAGGAGGUUUCUGUGCUUGACUGCUAAGAGAACUGGUUUGAGACUAACCCCAGAUCUGUCUGAUCUGUCUGAGGAACCAUCCAAAGUAAACCAGCUCUGUUGGGGAAGUACUGUUGGCCUGCUUUUUUGGCACUCACAGGGUGAGACUUUGUUGAGGCCUUGUCCUGGCAUUGUGAUGAUGGGACACAUCUCCUCUGGGUCUGAGGCAACACAGGUGUUAUUCAGGAAGGUAACAUUUGAGCCAUUCACCUUAGUCACCCAGUUUCAGUGAGACUGAUUUGGAUGGACUUAUCAGGAACACAGGUCUCAGACAGGCUCUGUCUGACCACAAAAGGGUAGGUCUGUCCCAGGACACAAAGCUUGGGAGCUACCAGUCUGCUGGUGACACCAAGCACCCUCCUUUGCAGUGCAAAGUGAUGGACUGAAGAUGGAUCACACUUUAUUAAUUUUUUUUUUUUUACAUAAGAAAGAAACUACAAAAUUAAAUAUAUAUUAAAAAAAAAAAAAAAAAAAAAAAAGAGAGAGAGAGAGAGGAGAAAGACUACUAACCCAAAACAUUAGCUCAUUGUUCAAGAAAAGGCACCAGACUAGAUGCUUUCUACUGUCUCUCUCAUGACCACAGGCAGAGAUUUUGAAAAGAGAAGGUCUGUGCCUUGGUUUCGCUCUUGCCUCAGAAAAAACCACCCUCUCUGUGAAUGCCGGGGAGCUGGGCCCCUGCCAGCCUGCUCUCUAACAAGCAACGUGGGAGCUGCGGCUCUGCAGCCUGCGGGACCACUGUGUCUUGUACUACCUUUGCUUCAGUGUAUCUCAGCCCUCUGACAGUGUAUCACUGCUGCUGUAAACAAUCAGCAGUUGAAAGAGUCACAUUAUAUUAUCCAGAUAAGUGGCAGUAGUUAUUGUCUCCAAGGCCGUACAUAACAAUACUCUGUGCUAAAUAAAUUCAAGACUUUGAAGGCAAAAAUGUCUUUCUGCCAUACUGCCUCCAGGAAUGAUUGCUUCUUGCCUUUCAAAGGGGGUAAGGAGCCUGCCAGGGCAUUACAGGUUUUGAAGUAACAUCUGUCACGGGACAGGUAAAGAGCCAACACAGUCCAUCAUUUGCCAUCUAUGCCCUCUUGUCUGUUGUCUGUUAGGCCUUUCCUUUGCAAUGCUAAGCAGAAUGAGAGGAGAGUCUUACAGAACUGGGAUCAUUGUAGUGGGAUGUUUUAUGGGGCACUAUAUCACCCCAUGCUUCUGUGGAACAACAACAAUUCUACCACAGUGAAAGGCAGGGGAAGGGGUGGAUUUGCACUGAACCAAAGGAACUGUUGCCUAAAAAAAUAAAAUCCGAAACAAAAUCCAAAACACAAGCAAGCAACUUUUGCCCAUUAUUUGUAUGGAGAAGGCUUUUCAUGAAGAAUGUGGUUAGCAUUGAGAUAUAUAUAUAUAUAUAUUUCCCCUGAGAAGCUUAGCACUGAGUGUUAAUAGACAGAUCAAAGAGCUACUUAGCCACAGGAGCCAGGGAAACUGAACCAGGGCAGCAAAAUAAAAAUCAAUCUGGCUUUUAGUGUGUUUAAUGUGAUUUUGUUUAGAACUGACUUCUGUGUGAGGACUUAGGAAAGGUUGAGAUCAUGAGAAGUUUGUCUCCCACUCUCCUACUCUUCAUAAAAUGACAAGAACCCUUUCUAUCUACAGAAUGAUUUCAGAUAUUCCCUGCCUUUGGUCUCAUCACUCUCUUUUGCCUUAUCUAUUUGCAAGAUUAUUCCACCAGAUCACAUACUAUAAAGAUAUGAAUAGCCUGCUCACCACAACAUUUCUGGCUCCAUGACUUGUGAAUAAUGCGCUCCUUCUCAGCGUAUGCUAGUAAAAAUUUUAGACUGUGCUAUCCCUGACUGUGUAGGGGACACACUUGUUAAAUGAGAGCUAUUUCAAGAAGGUGUUGAAUCUAAAAAAAAACCAAAACAACAAAACCUGAGAGGGAGGACAUUUCUUGAAUCCCUUAGAUCAUAAACUCAGAUCAUAACUGAGCCUGACAAGAAUAAAGAAGACAAAAUCCAGAUACCUCAAACAGUUCCCCAAGUGUCUAGACUUCAGCAGUUCUCCUAGGGCUGGAAGCCAAUACUGGGUUUCACUGAAAGGAGAGAGAAUUUCCCAUUCCUUGCUUGCUUCAUCUGUGGGCAAAGCCCAGCAUUUCAAAAUCCAGUCCCAGAUUCAGUGAGCCAUGCUGGAGCCACUGAAUCAUACCUAGUGCAGGUAGUGGGUAAACAUAUUUUAUCUUAUCUGAAAGAGAAACUCCUCAUUUAGAAGAGGCUCCUCUUUUUUUCCAUGAGACUAAAUGUAAAAAACGGCACGGCAGUGGUCUGCAGCUUUCCUGGAGUUUAAAAUCUUAAAACUUAAAAAGACAUGGAUGCGAUUAAGUACUUAGGAAAAAAAAAAAAACAAAAACAUUCAUCACACAGUUUAGCAUGAUAAUCUCAAAUUUGGGGUUCAGUCAUCCUUUUCUCCCCAUCUUAAGAUUAGCUACAAAAUAGGCAGGCUGGAAUUUAUUUAUUCAUUUUUAAAAUUAGGAGAUGCAAAAAUAAAUAAGUAAAAUGUAAGAUCAAUUUCAUUAAUAUCCAGGACAGGACUGUGGUUAUAUAACAGAGCAGGAAAAAUAUUAUACUUUUUUCAAAAUUCACUUUCCUCCUAAACUGUUCCUUAGGCUAAGAACAAAAGAGAUUCUGAGUCUUUGCAGCCUGGAGUUCUGUUUAUGCUUUUCUUCUUUGUGGACACUUGAAAUAAUUAUCAUCACUCUGCUCAAUUAUUUCUUCUCUCCAUCAGUCACUUAUCUUCUGAUCUUUCCUCCCUAUUCAUGCCAGAACAGCUUGUAUGCAAAGAUGCAAACCGCUGCAUAUAUUAAGCAUGUAUUGUAGGCUCCAGGCAUUCCAGGGGCUUUGACUUGAGGGGGUAAUACUUGUUGCAGAUUCCACAGGCAGCUGAUUUUAGAUGUUCCUGUAAGAGUCUGUACGGCAUGAAAUGUGCUUGAUCUCAUCUGAGCUGUUUCUACAACGGGACAGAUUAUAGGAAAAAAACCAAAACAACACAACCAAGGAGUAUCAGGAAAAAAAAGAACUGUAGAUUCCCUUUGUAUCAUAAAAUAUCUUCCAAAAUAAUUAAAUGUUAAUGACAGUCCUCAUUAAAACAAGUCUCACAGGACAAUGUUGUCACUGUAGCUUAUCUGCCCAGAUUUAAGGAGCCUGGGACCCAUUAAAAGCAGCAUCACUUCAUGCUUUAUUUGAUGUCCAGCAUUUCUGCCACACCUUCCCAAGCGGGCACUGGGUCUUACUGCAAAGAGCUUCAAUACAUCAGACACAGGCCCCUGGCAAAGAGGUUUCCUCACUGCCUCAAGGCUGAUGCCUGGAUAAAAGAGGAGUGUAUUUGGCAGGACAGAGGAUUGGCACAUAAAAACCAAGGUGUGACUUGAACAAGGGCGGGGGAGUCUGCACAGGAAAGUUUAAUAUUACAGAGGCACGGAAGCCUCUGAAGUCUGGGGAGCCACAUGAAAAGCAGGUGCCUGCCUGGGCACGCGGGCUAUCAGGGAAAGGAUAGGAAGCACCGCGCCAUAAUUGCGCAUCAUCUUGUGACUGGUGCAAAUGCUGCCAGGAGCUGGGAUGCUGCAGUACCGAGCUGACUGCUCCCUCAAGACAAGCUGCAAAGCAUGCCCAGAGCUGCAAAGGGAAAGCAAGUGAAUCAGCAAGGGGCAUGUCAGUCCCCAAGCACUGGUUAGGUGCAGAAUCAUAUCAGCAUGAAGAUGAUGCAUAGAGAUGAAAGCAGAGAGAGAUGCUCCUUUGUUUAUAAACACACCAGAGACAAUCAGGUUACUGUGGAAAGUCAUUUUAUUUCAGAAUUCCACGCGCUCUGUCAGAGACCAUGCACUUGGACUUUCCCCUUUGCAAAUCCACAGCCUCCAGGCCUGGGAGAGAUGGGGCAUCAUCUCUUCAUUCUCACUGCGAGUUGCCCACAUACUAAGAGCGAGGGCCCUGAUGGCACCUCGCCAGGGGGCAGAAAGCAGCCUCCUGUUUCCCACAGGGGAAAAUAAAUCCAUCUGACUUGAACGAAUAGCAGUGGAGCUCAGCAGCAGUGAAACCCCACAGCUGAGCAUGUUGGUCCUCAUCCUGUGGUUACAGGGAAUAAGACGACAAGCUCACAGGAAGCUUGUGUGAGCUAAGCUAUAGCAGAACACACCAAGACAUUCUUGGAGCCAAGGCAGUAACCAGCUCAACACAUGCCCUGGGUCUCUUACAAUCAAUCUGUCUCUGAGCCACUCUGCCAGGAAGGUGGCCUGGAGCUGCCCUUUUUACAUUCAGCUUUAGGUUCUCCUGCUCUGUGCUACAGAUUUGACUAGGAAGGAGCCUACCUAUAGGUAAGACAGCCCUCCAGGCUGUACAUAAACAUGUGCACUGCAUUUAAUACUGAAAGGUGCCAGUUAGACUUUGCAACAUUCUGUUUGACCCACAGGCUGGGUACAGCAUUACUGUAAGUUUCCCGCAUUCUUACCCUACACCUUCUUCCCUACCCCUUAUGCCUGACCCUGCUUUUAAAAGAUUCCUAGUUGCAGUGUGUCCCUAUGACCCAUCACAUCUUUGGCCUUUGUUGAGACUGUCACUACCAGGGCAGCUAUUGCCUGCUGUGGUGGCUGCGUGUAGGGAAGUGAGCAUUUGCCUCCUGAGAACAGGCUUGUGGAUAGCUCAGAGGAGGGCAAAAUGAAGGGAAGAUAUGAUGGAAGUGAUUGAAUUCAAGUGAAGUUGAGUAGAGUCUACAGAAAAGGCAAAAAGGCAGCUUCAGUCUCGAUUUGAUACACAAAUUGAGCUCAAUAGCAGCAAAAAAUGGCCAUAAAAUAUUAAUUCAUUAGGUUGCCAGGAAGAAGUAAAAGCUUUCAUGUAAAAAAUUCUAUGUACAGAUAUAUGUGUGACAACUGUUCUCAAGUCAGCUCAGACAGUGGUGUCUCCCUGUUCAUAUCUCACCUUUUUUUUGUAUCUAGAGUUUGGAUCACUUCCAACCACAUUGCUGCUCAUUUCUGUGUGAAGACCAUGGUACUGGAAUCAGCACCAAGAGAGCAGUGACAUCAUGCUGAAGAAAUGAACUUUGGGGGAACUCCUGACAACCCAGAUAUUUUAAUAUUUUUGUUGACCUUCAAGUAAUUAAAAAAGGGGAAUUUCCCCCAGUAGCCUAUAA